CAGCAGCCGCGGUAAUACCGAGGGUGCGAGCGUUAAUCGGAUUUACUGGGCGUAAAGCGUGCGUAGGCGGCUUCUUAAGUCGGAUGUGAAAUCCCUGAGCUUAACUUAGGAAUUGCAUUCGAUACUGGGAAGCUAGAGUAUGGGAGAGGAUGGUAGAAUUCCAGGUGUAGCGGUGAAAUGCGUAGAGAUCUGGAGGAAUACCGAUGGCGAAGGCAGCCAUCUGGCCUAAUACUGACGCUGAGGUACGAAAGCAUGGGGAGCAAACAGGAUUAGAUACCCCAGUAGUCCCUGUCUCUUAUAA
rnacentral:rRNA from 1 species